GCGGCGUGCUUAACACAUGCAAGUCGAACGAUGAACCACUUCGGUGGGGAUUAGUGGCGAACGGGUGAGUAACACGUGGGCAAUCUGCCCUUCACUCUGGGACAAGCCCUGGAAACGGGGUCUAAUACCGGAUACGAGCCUCCAGGGCAUCUUGGGGGUUGGAAAGCUCCGGCGGUGAAGGAUGAGCCCGCGGCCUAUCAGCUUGUUGGUGAGGUAAUGGCUCACCAAGGCGACGACGGGUAGCCGGCCUGAGAGGGCGACCGGCCACACUGGGACUGAGACACGGCCCAGACUCCUACGGGAGGCAGCAGUGGGGAAUAUUGCACAAUGGGCGAAAGCCUGAUGCAGCGACGCCGCGUGAGGGAUGACGGCCUUCGGGUUGUAAACCUCUUUCAGCAGGGAAGAAGCGAAAGUGACGGUACCUGCAGAAGAAGCGCCGGCUAACUACGUGCCAGCAGCCGCGGUAAUACGUAGGGCGCAAGCGUUGUCCGGAAUUAUUGGGCGUAAAGAGCUCGUAGGCGGCUUGUCACGUCGAUUGUGAAAGCCCGAGGCUUAACCUCGGGUCUGCAGUCGAUACGGGCUAGCUAGAGUGUGGUAGGGGAGAUCGGAAUUCCUGGUGUAGCGGUGAAAUGCGCAGAUAUCAGGAGGAACACCGGUGGCGAAGGCGGAUCUCUGGGCCAUUACUGACGCUGAGGAGCGAAAGCGUGGGGAGCGAACAGGAUUAGAUACCCUGGUAGUCCACGCCGUAAACGGUGGGAACUAGGUGUUGGCGACAUUCCACGUCGUCGGUGCCGCAGCUAACGCAUUAAGUUCCCCGCCUGGGGAGUACGGCCGCAAGGCUAAAA
rnacentral:rRNA from 1 species